GACGAACGCUGGCGGCGUGCUUAACACAUGCAAGUCGAACGAAGUGGCGAACGGGUGAGUAACGCGUAAUCAACCUGCCCUUCAGAGGGGGACAACAGUUGGAAACGACUGCUAAUACCGCAUACUGAAGGAGGGGUUUGCGUCGGAUUAGCUAGUUGGAGGGGUAACGGCCCACCAAGGCGAUGAUCAGUAGCCGGUCUUGGAGGAUGGACGGCCCCAUUGGGACUGGGACCCGGCCCAGACCCCGAAGGGAGGCAGCAGUGGGGAAGCUUCCGCCAAGGACGAAAGGCUGAAGGAGCAAAGCCGCGGGAGAGAUGACGGCCUUCGGGUUGGUAAGCUCUGUUAAGCGGGACGCGGUACCGGAAUAGAAAGCCACGGCUAACUACGUGCCAGCAGCCGCGGUAAUAC
rnacentral:rRNA from 1 species